ACUUCCCCUUUCCAUGUGUUAAGCAUCGCCGGCUCACGCAGGCGUGCACCGGCAUGCAGAAUGUUUCCAGGGUCCCGCAAGCCAAGAGCCUCGAUGCCUUCAGGCUUUUGACGUCAUGUUCCAAAAGAAAAGGUAAGCACCCUACGAGUACUCCUCCUUCAAACGAGCUUCCUCGGUAAUUUUAUUCGAACUACAAGACAAAAUGACCAGUCAUUUUCUUCCAAUUAUCGCCAGC
rnacentral:lncRNA from 1 species